GCCGCGGCGUCACCGGGAGCGGCCGGGAAAAGCCGGAGAAACAAAGAACAUGGCGAGGGGAGGAGGAGGAGCUUACGCCGCCCCAGCCGCUGGGAAACGCGCUCGGGGGGCGUACAAUGCCCGCCGCGGGGCGGGUUCGCUUCUCUCCGCCCCCUUUCCCCGCCCUUGUGGCCGGGCUGGCGGGGGGCUGGGGCGGAACGGGACGGGACGGGCUGAACGGGACUGGAUUGGACUGGAGGUGGCCGUCGGGAGUGGGGCCGCUGUUUCGCCCAGAGUGGGAAAGUUGUGCGGGAUCCGUCCAGGCACAACUUCAGGACAUGCAAGAGAACUUUGGAGUGAACUGGCAGUAAGCUUUGCAGUACCAUGGUGGCAAUAAUACUGGCUGUCCUCUGGAGAUGCUGAUGCUCAGCAUUAUUUUGAACUUCUUUCUUAGACCCUCCAGCUUGUUCACAAAGGACUUAAAACUGAUUUGGAUUCAUAUGGUCAUGGGUAUGGACUUUUUCCUUCCAUUACGUGACAUCUGCAUGUUUCCAGCAGUCGGUGAUGAAGUCAGUAAUAGGUCUGCUGACAUUUGGUCUGUUCUUGGGAGCUCUGAGUGACAGGUAUUGUAAACAUCCUACACUCUCAGCUGUGGAAACUAAGAAAGCUGGGAGAAGGCUGUUUACUCUCCCUGCCUUGGAAAUCGUCUGGAGGGCAAGGACAGAAUAUUAUGUUGAUUGUAUUUCUGACAGCCUGUAUUUCAUACUGUACAUUAUGGUGUCAGUAAACAAAUUAUGUCAUUACGUCACAUCAUCAAUGUCUUGUGUUCAGACCAAGGUCAGAAGGGCCUUAUGAUAUGCUCCAGCUGUACUGCUGGCUUGAGGGAAACUUAAAUAGUAGGAACAAUACACUGCAGUACUUCCAUCCUUAAACAGUGAUCAGAAAAUACCUGUUUUGUUUAUAGGUAGUGAUACAUAAAAGUUGCAGUGUGGACAUCCUCAAAUUGACACAUCAGUAUUGUGUUAAAUGAAAAUCACCCUUAAAUGGUUGGGACUUGUUUUCUAAGAUCUACUCAAUUCUCAUUUUCUACCCAAAAGAGCUAGAAGCAGAGGUUAGAAGGCAAAGACAUUGUAGGGGAAUUAAAAUUUCAGUUUCUUUUCAAAGAAAAUCAGAGGUGUCAACAUCAACUGCAACUCUAAAUUAAAUUGGGAUACAAAAGUCUUAUACCGCAUGUUUUCCACUCAGUGCUCCCUACCACUUGCUCCCUAGACUGUAUUAUACUUUGUGCUUUGUCCUGGCAAUCUUUCUCUUCUUCCUUUGUGUUUCUUUCAUUCUAUAUGCUGUAAGACAAGUAGAACUUAUCAGUUUAAAUGUAGAAUAAGCUGAAAAAGUAAUUUUCCUUUUAAAUCUAAUAUCCUGCUGGCAUGGUCCUAAAUACAACUAAAGUGAGAUUUGCAACUUUUAAGCAGGGACUCUGGCAGAAAGAAUAUUGUUUCCCUCUUUUGUUUUUCCUUGUUUAUGGGGAAGGGACACCUUUUGUGCGCUCAGAGAUCACUGUCUAUUUUCUUUUGCAAUAGCAUUCUUACAUCUUGAGAUCCUACUGCUUCAGCUUUUUAGAAAAGGUAUUUAAAUAUAAAAUCUUUGAAAAAAGGGCUUUUAGGAGAGUUUAGUUUUCAGGGUUUGGAAAGGGAUGGGAGUGGGAAAACAACUGGUAAAAUACUGUGUAAGGAUUUGAAGUAGUAUUUACACAAAAGUACAAAAAAGAAUUCAAACUUUCAUGCAGAACAUUAAAAAGUCAGUUAUUUGAAGUAAUAGGUUUUUUUUGUGCUCUGGCUUGCUUUCCUAUUGGAGGAAGCAGUAAGAGGGAAAGCCAGG